rnacentral:rRNA from 1 species
GUAAGGAAUAUUGGACAAUGGACGCAAGUCUGAUCCAGCCAUGCCGCGUGAAGGAUUAAGGUCCUCUGGAUUGUAAACUUCUUUUAUAAGGGACGAAAAAAGGCUUUUCUAAGUCGUCUGACGGUACCUUAUGAAUAAGCACCGGCUAACUCCGUGCCAGCAGCCGCGGUAAUACGGAGGGUGCAAGCGUUAUCCGGAUUCACUGGGUUUAAAGGGUGCGUAGGCGGGCAGGUAAGUCAGUGGUGAAAUCCUAGAGCUUAACUCUAGAACUGCCAUUGAUACUAUAUGUCUUGAAUAUUGUGGAGGUAAGCGGAAUAUGUCAUGUAGCGGUGAAAUGCUUAGAUAUGACAUAGAACACCUAUUGCGAAGGCAGCUUACUACGCAUAUAUUGACGCUGAGGCACGAAAGCGUGGGGAUCAAACAGGAUUAGAUACCCGUGUAGUCC